GGUUAAGCGACUAAGCGUACACGGUGGAUGCCCUGGCAGUCAGAGGCGAUGAAGGACGUGCUAAUCUGCGAUAAGCGUCGGUAAGGUGAUAUGAACCGUUAUAACCGGCGAUUUCCGAAUGGGGAAACCCAGUGUGAUUCGUCACACUAUCAUUAACUGAAUCCAUAGGUUAAUGAGGCGAACCGGGGGAACUGAAACAUCUAAGUACCCCGAGGAAAAGAAAUCAACCGAGAUUCCCCCAGUAGCGGCGAGCGAACGGGGAGCAGCCCAGAGCCUGAAUCAGUGUGUGUGUUAGUGGAAGCGUCUGGAAAGGCGCGCGAUACAGGGUGACAGCCCCGUACACAAAAAUGCACAUGCUGUGAGCUCGAUGAGUAGGGCGGGACACGUGGUAUCCUGUCUGAAUAUGGGGGGACCAUCCUCCAAGGCUAAAUACUCCUGACUGACCGAUAGUGAACCAGUACCGUGAGGGAAAGGCGAAAAGAACCCCGGCGAGGGGAGUGAAAAAGAACCUGAAACCGUGUACGUACAAGCAGUGGGAGCACAGAGCAAUCUGUGUGACUGCGUACCUUUUGUAUAAUGGGUCAGCGACUUAUAUUCUGUAGCAAGGUUAACCGAAUAGGGGAGCCGAAGGGAAACCGAGUCUUAACUGGGCGUUAAGUUGCAGGGUAUAGACCCGAAACCCGGUGAUCUAGCCAUGGGCAGGUUGAAGGUUGGGUAACACUAACUGGAGGACCGAACCGACUAAUGUUGAAAAAUUAGCGGAUGACUUGUGGCUGGGGGUGAAAGGCCAAUCAAACCGGGAGAUAGCUGGUUCUCCCCGAAAGCUAUUUAGGUAGCGCCUCGUGAAUUCAUCUCCGGGGGUAGAGCACUGUUUCGGCAAGGGGGUCAUCCCGACUUACCAACCCGAUGCAAACUGCGAAUACCGGAGAAUGUUAUCACGGGAGACACACGGCGGGUGCUAACGUCCGUCGUGAAGAGGGAAACAACCCAGACCGCCAGCUAAGGUCCCAAAGUCAUGGUUAAGUGGGAAACGAUGUGGGAAGGCCCAGACAGCCAGGAUGUUGGCUUAGAAGCAGCCAUCAUUUAAAGAAAGCGUAAUAGCUCACUGGUCGAGUCGGCCUGCGCGGAAGAUGUAACGGGGCUAAACCAUGCACCGAAGCUGCGGCAGCGACGCUUAUGCGUUGUUGGGUAGGGGAGCGUUCUGUAAGCCUGCGAAGGUGUGCUGUGAGGCAUGCUGGAGGUAUCAGAAGUGCGAAUGCUGACAUAAGUAACGAUAAAGCGGGUGAAAAGCCCGCUCGCCGGAAGACCAAGGGUUCCUGUCCAACGUUAAUCGGGGCAGGGUGAGUCGACCCCUAAGGCGAGGCCGAAAGGCGUAGUCGAUGGGAAACAGGUUAAUAUUCCUGUACUUGGUGUUACUGCGAAGGGGGGACGGAGAAGGCUAUGUUGGCCGGGCGACGGUUGUCCCGGUUUAAGCGUGUAGGCUGGUUUUCCAGGCAAAUCCGGAAAAUCAAGGCUGAGGCGUGAUGACGAGGCACUACGGUGCUGAAGCAACAAAUGCCCUGCUUCCAGGAAAAGCCUCUAAGCAUCAGGUAACAUCAAAUCGUACCCCAAACCGACACAGGUGGUCAGGUAGAGAAUACCAAGGCGCUUGAGAGAACUCGGGUGAAGGAACUAGGCAAAAUGGUGCCGUAACUUCGGGAGAAGGCACGCUGAUAUGUAGGUGAAGUCCCUCGCGGAUGGAGCUGAAAUCAGUCGAAGAUACCAGCUGGCUGCAACUGUUUAUUAAAAACACAGCACUGUGCAAACACGAAAGUGGACGUAUACGGUGUGACGCCUGCCCGGUGCCGGAAGGUUAAUUGAUGGGGUCAGCGCAAGCGAAGCUCUUGAUCGAAGCCCCGGUAAACGGCGGCCGUAACUAUAACGGUCCUAAGGUAGCGAAAUUCCUUGUCGGGUAAGUUCCGACCUGCACGAAUGGCGUAAUGAUGGCCAGGCUGUCUCCACCCGAGACUCAGUGAAAUUGAACUCGCUGUGAAGAUGCAGUGUACCCGCGGCAAGACGGAAAGACCCCGUGAACCUUUACUAUAGCUUGACACUGAACAUUGAGCCUUGAUGUGUAGGAUAGGUGGGAGGCUUUGAAGUGUGGACGCCAGUCUGCAUGGAGCCGACCUUGAAAUACCACCCUUUAAUGUUUGAUGUUCUAACGUUGACCCGUGAUCCGGGUUGCGGACAGUGUCUGGUGGGUAGUUUGACUGGGGCGGUCUCCUCCUAAAGAGUAACGGAGGAGCACGAAGGUUGGCUAAUCCUGGUCGGACAUCAGGAGGUUAGUGCAAUGGCAUAAGCCAGCUUGACUGCGAGCGUGACGGCGCGAGCAGGUGCGAAAGCAGGUCAUAGUGAUCCGGUGGUUCUGAAUGGAAGGGCCAUCGCUCAACGGAUAAAAGGUACUCCGGGGAUAACAGGCUGAUACCGCCCAAGAGUUCAUAUCGACGGCGGUGUUUGGCACCUCGAUGUCGGCUCAUCACAUCCUGGGGCUGAAGUAGGUCCCAAGGGUAUGGCUGUUCGCCAUUUAAAGUGGUACGCGAGCUGGGUUUAGAACGUCGUGAGACAGUUCGGUCCCUAUCUGCCGUGGGCGCUGGAGAACUGAGGGGGGCUGCUCCUAGUACGAGAGGACCGGAGUGGACGCAUCACUGGUGUUCGGGUUGUCAUGCCAAUGGCACUGCCCGGUAGCUAAAUGCGGAAGAGAUAAGUGCUGAAAGCAUCUAAGCACGAAACUUGCCCCGAGAUGAGUUCUCCCUGACUCCUUGAGAGUCCUGAAGGAACGUUGAAGACGACGACGUUGAUAGGCCGGGUGUGUAAGCGCAGCGAUGCGUUGAGCUAACCGGUACUAAUGAACCGUGAGGCUUAACCUU
rnacentral:rRNA from 3 species